CCUACGGGAGGCAGCAGUGAGGAAUAUUGGUCAAUGGGCGCGAGCCUGAACCAGCCAAGUCGCGUGAAGGAUGACUGCCCUCCGGGUUGUAAACUUCUUUUAUAAAGGAAUAAAGUGAGACACGAGUGCCUUUUUGUAUGUACUUUAUGAAAAAGAAUCGGCUAACUCCGUGCCAGCAGCCGCGGUACUACGGGGGAUGCGAUCGUUAUCCGGAUUUAUUGGGUUUAAAGGGUGCGCAGGCCGCCGGUUAAGUCAGCGGGAAAAGCCCGGGGCUCAACCCCGGCGAGCCGUUGAAACUGGCGGGCUGGAGUUGGAGAGAAGUACGUGGAAUGCGCGGUGUAGCGGUGAAAUGCGUAGAGAUCGCGCAGAACCCCGAUGGCGAAGGCAGCGUACCGGCUCCACACUGACGCUGAGGUGCGAAAGCGUGGGGAUCGAACAGGAUUAGAUACCCGAGUAGUC
rnacentral:rRNA from 1 species